rnacentral:misc_RNA from 1 species
UCUCCGUUGGUGAACCAGCGGAGGGAUCAUUACAGAGUCGUAAAACACUCCCAAACCCAUGUGAACUUACCAUUGUUGCCUCGGCGGGCUACCCUGUAGACCGCCGGUGGACCAUUAAACUCUUGUUACUCUAUGGAUAUCUGAGCGUUUUCCAAAAAUAAAGUUAAAACUUUCAACAACGGAUCUCUUGGUUCUGGCAUCGAUGAAGAACGCAGC